rnacentral:tRNA from 1 species
GAAGGUAUAGCUCAAGUGGUAGAGCGUGUGCUUAGCAUGCACAAGGUCCUGGAUUAAAUCCCCAGCAUCUCCA